rnacentral:rRNA from 1 species
CAAUAGCGUAUAUUUAAGUUGUUGCAGUUAAAAAGCUCGUAGUUGGAUUUCGGAUGGGAUUUGCCGGUCCGUCGUUACGAUGUGCACUGGCCAGUCCUAUCUUGUUGUCGGGGACUAGCUCCUUGGAUUCACUUCCUGGGACUAGGAGCUGCCGAGGUUACUUUGAGUAAAUUAGAGUGUUCAAAGCAAGCCUACGCUCUGAAUACAUUAGCAUGGAAUAACACGAUAGGACUCUGGCUUAUCUUGUUGGUCUGUGAGACCAGAGUAAUGAUUAAGAGGGACAGUCGGGGACAUUCGUAUUUCAUUGUCAGAGGUGAAAUUCUUGGAUUUAUGAAAGACGAACUUCUGCGAAAGCAUUUGUCAAGGAUGUUUUCAUUAA